rfam:Solanum tuberosum cultivar DM 1-3 516 R44 scf00040_16, whole genome shotgun sequence.
AUUUGGGUAUGAUGAUCAAAGGAAUUAUACAGUUAUCCCUGUCUGAUUUAUUCAGUGCUGAAAGUUUUCCUUUCAUUUCUGACCCAUGC